AUUGAACGCUGGCGGCAGGCCUUACACAUGCAAGUCGGACGAGUGGCGGACGGGUGAGUAACGUAUGGGGAUCUGCCCGAUAGUGGGGGAUAACUGCCCGAAAGGGUGGCUAAUACCGCAUACUAUCCGAUCAGCCCAUGUCUGAUUAGCUGGUUGGUGGGGUAAAGGCUCACCUAGGCGACGCUCAGUAGCUGGUCUGAGAGGAUGAUCGGCCACACUGGGACUGAGACACGGCCCAGACUCCUACGGGAGGCAGCAGUGGGGAAUUUUGGACAAUGGGCGCAAGCCUGAUGCAGCCAUGCCGCGUGUCUGAAGAAGGCCUUCGGGUUGUAAAGGACUUUUAUCGGGGAAGCGUUACCUGAAGAAUAAGCACCGGCUAACUACGUGCCAGCAGCCGCGGUAAUAC
rnacentral:rRNA from 1 species